AGUGAACGCUGGCGGCGUGCUUAAGACAUGCAAGUCGAACGGCAGUCUUCGGACUGUAGUGGCGCACGGGUGAGUAACGCGUAACUGACCUACCCCAAAGUCGCGGAUAACGAUUCGAAAGAAUCGCUAAUACGUGAUGUGCUGUCAGAUUGUGUUCUGCCAGUAAAGAUUGAUUGCUUUGGGAUGGGGUUGCGUUCCAUCAGCUAGUUGGUGGGGUAAAGGCCCACCAAGGCGACGACGGAUAGCCGGCCUGAGAGGGUGGCCGGCCACAGGGUACCUGAGACACGGGUCCCACGCGUACGGGAGGCAGCAGUUAGGAAUCUUCCACAAUGGGCGAAAGCCUGAUGGAGCGACGCCGCGUGAGGGAUGAAGGUCUUCGGAUCGUAAACCUCUGAAUCAGGGACGAAAGACACUUCGGUGGGAUGACGGUACCUGAGUAAUAGCACCGGCUAACUCCGUGCCAGCCGCCGCCGUAACAC
rnacentral:rRNA from 1 species